AACGAACGCUGGCGGCAGGCUUAACACAUGCAAGUCGAACGCAUGCCUUCGGGCAUGAGUGGCAGACGGGUGAGUAACGCGUGGGAACCUACCCCUUGGUACGGGAUAGCUCCGGGAAACUGGAGAUAAUACCGUAUGUGUCCUGAGGGACAAAGAUUCAUCGCCAAGGGAUGGGCCCGCGUCGGAUUAGCUAGUUGGUGGGGUAACGGCCUACCAAGGCGACGAUCCGUAGCUGGUCUAAGAGGAUGAUCAGCCACAUUGGGACUGAGACACGGCCCAAACUCCUACGGGAGGCAGCAGUGGGGAAUAUUGGACAAUGGGCGCAAGCCUGAUCCAGCCAUGCCGCGUGAGUGAUGAAGGCCCUAGGGUUGUAAAGCUCUUUCACCGGUGACGAUAAUGACGGUAACCGGAGAGGAAGCCCCGGCUAACUUCGUG
rnacentral:rRNA from 1 species